ensembl:snRNA U6 U6 spliceosomal RNA
GUACCUCUUUUCAGCAGCACAUAUACUGGAGUCGGAACAAUACAGAGAGGAUUGGCAUGGCCUCUGUGCAAAGAUGACACAAAUUUGUGAAGUGUUCCAUAUUAAA